UUUUAUUUCCAAUGAAAGCUCAUUAAAUGCAAUAUCUUUAUUUAUUAAAUUAAAUUAUUUAUUUUCAAUCUCCUCUAUCUUAAAUUGCAGGAACGAAGAAGAGUAGAGUAGAUUAAAGAGAGAAAGCUCCAAGAACUUCUUUCUCCAACUCUCUUUGUUGUUCUUUACUCUUUCAUUUCUUCUGUUUUAAUUAUUAAAGCUCUUCGGAUUCUUCAGCUUUCCUCUAAUCAAAAGCUGUGUGCCGCCACUGUUAUAUCCACCUCCACCAUUCUCCACCACCAUCGCCACCGCAGCAGCAACGGCCUAGGGUUUCAACUCCUCUCACUUGUUUUUUCUCCUCUUCUUCUUGUGGCUUCGUUGAUUAGUAUUAUUUUUUUGGGUUGAUUAGCCUCAUGUCUUUAAUUGAAAAUUGUAAAAAAGGUUUGAAUCUUAGAACUUAGGAAUUUGAGUUGACAAAACCAGUUGGAUCGGUGGGUCGCUACAGUAAAACCGGUCCAACCGUGAGUUAAAAUAGGUUAAUUUUCAUUCUCAGUUUUUAACCCUGACCGGUUCGCCUAAGCCACCGUUUUCCGAUCGAACCGGACCGGGUUUUAAAACCUUCAUUAAAGUACAAAACUAAAGAGAACUAUGAAGUACAAUGAGAAUAUUCCAUUUUAUGAUAUUUAGCUUUAUGCGUUUAUAGUAGGCUAACAUAAAGCUCCAUCAACCCUUUAUUCUUUCUCUUUUGUUAUGCUUAAAAUCCAAAGAAAAUCUUCCAAAUCUCCAGCAACAAUUUUGACAAUAAUGUAACAAAGCAUAAAGGUUUGUUUUUCUAUAUAUUGCUUAACCAUUUCCAUAAUAACAUACUCAACUAUUAACGCUGCUUUCUAUUUAUCAAGAUAUACCAACAAGAGUAAAGAAAACUCAACCAUGGCACAGCGGCUCGUAGUCUUUGAAGCUGUUUCAUUUGCUUUCUGUCUGUUAACUAGCCUAGCCAUGACCCUCAAGUCAGGAACUUGCAACUGCAAGAAAUCAACACAAGCUAAAAAUCCCACCAAGAAAUGCUAAGAUGAUCUUCGCUGCUCUCACACCAUGACCAUAAAUUUCCAAAGAAAAGCACUAGAGGACCUUGAGAGUUCAAGCUCACUCUUGGCAAUAGGCAUGGCAUAGUUAAGAGUUUAUUUGCAAACGAGAUUGUUAUCAAUGUGAUCUAAUCUAUAUGUACUUUACUGUUUACAUCCACUAAUUCAUACUA